rnacentral:rRNA from 1 species
GGAAGUAAAAGUCGUAACAAGGUCUCCGUUGGUGAACCAGCGGAGGGAUCAUUACCGAGUUACCCAACUCCCAACCCCUGUGAAUUAUACCUUUAAUUGUUGCUUCGGCGGGACUUCGCGCCCGCCGGGGACCCAAACCUUCUGAAUUUUUUAAUAAGUAUCUUCUGAGUGGUUAAAAAAAUGAAUCAAAACUUUCAACAACGGAUCUCUUGGUUCUGGCAUCGAUGAAGAACGCAGCGAAAUGCGAUAAGUAAUGUGAAUUGCAGAAUUCAGUGAAUCAUCGAAUCUUUGAACGCACAUUGCGCCCGUCAGUAUUCUGGCGGGCAUGCCUGUUCGAGCGUCAUUACGCCCCUCAAGUCCCCUGUGGACUUGGUGUUGGGGAUCGGCGAGGCUGGUUUUCCAGCACAGCCGUCCCUCAAAUCAAUUGGCGGUCUCGCCGUGGCCCUCCUCUGCGCAGUAGUAAAACACUCGCAACAGGAGCCCGGCGCGGUCCACUGCCGUAAAACCCCCCAACUUUUUAUAGUUGACCUCGAAUCAGGUAGGACUACCCGCUGAACUUAAGCAUAUCAAUAAGCGGAGGA